rnacentral:rRNA from 1 species
CAGUAGCCGCGGGAAUACAGAGGGUGCGAGCGUUAAUCGGAUUUACUGGGCGUAAAGCGUGCGUAGGCGGCUUCUUAAGUCGGAUGUGAAAUCCCUGAGCUUAACUUAGGAAUUGCAUUCGAUACUGGGAAGCUAGAGUAUGGGAGAGGAUGGUAGAAUUCCAGGUGUAGCGGUGAAAUGCGUAGAGAUCUGGAGGAAUACCGAUGGCGAAGGCAGCCAUCUGGCCUAAUACUGACGCUGAGGUACGAAAGCAUGGGGAGCAAACAGGAUUAGAGACCCGCGUAGUCCCUGUUCUUAUACA